rnacentral:rRNA from 1 species
UACGUAGGUGGCAAGCGUUGUCCGGAUUUACUGGGCGUAAAGAGCGCGCAGGCGGUCAAGUAAGUCGAAUGUGAAAGCCCCGGCUCAACUGGGGAGGGUCAUUCGAUACUGCUCGACUUGAAGGCAGGAGAGGGCAGCAGAAUUCCCGGUGUAGUGGUGAAAUGCGUAGAUAUCGGGAGGAAUACCAGUGGCGAAGGCGGCUGCCUGGCCUGUUCUUGACGCUGAGGCGCGAAAGCUGGGGAGCAAACGGG